rnacentral:lncRNA from 1 species
AUGCUAUUAGAAAUAAAAUUUGUAACCAUGCAGCCAUCAGCUACAGUAUCGCAUCAGAUCACACUGCACUGGCUCCCUAUUAAACAUCUUAUAGAUUUUAAAAUAUUGCUUAUUACUUAUAAAGCCCUGAAUGGUUUAGCACCUCAGUAUUUGAACAAGCUCUUGUUACAUUAUAGUCCUCCACGUCCGCUGCAUUCUCAAAACUCUGGCAAUUUGAUAAUACCUAGAAUAUCUAAUACCUGCUGGAGCAGAGGAGCCUUUCCCUUGAGGAUCAUAAAAGACUAUUUGUGGAAAUCGCUAACCAUACCCACUACCCGGACUACUGCCUCUGCACUUCAGACCAGCCUUAAUGACAAGUGCAGAGUGCGGUUGUCCGGAGAUGGUCCUCAGGGUAAUUUUGCCACCUUUGUGGAGUGGCUGGUGUGGCUGGUGUCCUGUGGAUCGCCUCUGACUGUGGACAUCGCGGAAGACACCAGCCUCACUCCGGACCCAGAGCUCAGCCUACCAUCUCCCUGCUGCACGGAGCCUAAGCCAGAGGCCACACCUGACAGAGAUCCAGAGCCUGCCAUUGAUGAACCAUCACCAUGGAGAGCAACAGAGCUGAGGAUCGCCUCAGAGCUUAAGCCUGACCCAACAGACCAGGUGCGAGAGCCGGCAACAGAGCUCGCCAUGGUGGAGAAUGCUAUGAACAGCGAGAGCGUAGAAGAAAGCUCCGCCUACUGCAUCAUGGCUGAGGGAGAACAGGGCUCUAUUGACAGUAAUGAGGAUCUUAUUAAUCUGGAUAUAGAUGCAUACAUGUCUGUUCUGCUUCUGCCUUCAUCAGAGCUCUUUAGCUACCCUGAACUAUAUACGUGCCUGGAUUUCCCACCCACCCUCCCUCUCCUGCUGCCUCCUAUCAUCCCUACCGCUUCAGCUCAGCCACCGCUGUGUCCUUGCAGCCCCUCAGCUCACCCUCAGCCCACCAUCUGUGCGCUGGAUUUGCUGCUGGUCUGCCACUCUCCAUCGGCUUCGUGGCUGGAGGAUCCCUUGUCUCCGCCUCCAGCCCCUGAAUCCCGGGCUCCGCCUUGGCCCUGCAAACCAGUGGCUCCACCAUGGCUUCUAGCUCCCUCCUCUCCACCAUGGCCCGUCAGUCCACCAGCUCUGCCGGGCUCCCAUGUCCCUCCGGCUCGGCCUUGGUCUGUCAUUGACCAUUUGCCGUCUCGGGACUCCACUCCUCCGGCUCCACCUUGUCCCUCCAUCCCUCUGGCUCUGUCAGGCUCCUCCUGCCCUCUGGCUCCACCUCAGUUCUCUGUCGCUCCGGCUCCACUGCGGCCUUCCGGAUCCCUGCCUCCGCCUCAGUCACCGGCACCAUCUGUUCUGCCUUGGCCCUCCAGAUCCUCUGUGUCACCCUGGCUCAUUGGCUCUCCUUCUCUGCCUCGGGCUCCUGCUCCGCUGCCGUCGGUCAGUCCCCCGGAGUCGUCGGCCCUUCCUCCACCAUGGCUCCUCCCUCCGUCGGCUCCACCAUGGGCCGCCAUCAUGGCUGUGGCCUUGGUCCCGCCUGGCUCCUCCUCCUGCUCUGACUCCCUCCUGUUUUCUUCCUGGCUCCUUCCUCCAUCGUCACCUCCCUGGACUCUGUUGGUCGUCCUCCCUCCCGGGACUCCAUCCUUUGCCCAAGUCUCCACCUGUUUCCUGCCAGCCCUUGGCCAUUCCUCCGUCUCCUUCCUUCUCUACGGUGCAGGGUCAUGCCUUUCAGGAGGGGGGUGA